AUUAAAACCGUGCAUUCUGUGUGAAUGUGUAUUUGAAUGUUAACAUUUCGUUUUUAGUUAUGUAAUCAUUUGAAAGUCCCUUCAAGUUGAAAAAGCACAUGCAUUCUUAUUAUGGCCACACCUGGCGGCCUAAAUCAACUGUGAUCAGAUUGGUUAAAAAAAUAGAGGCUGCGUGUGAUUUCAGUUCCGGUUCAAUGCAUUUGUAAUGAGGGGGCGCACUUCUGUGCAGUGUGCACAUUCGUCGUCGUUGCCAGCAGGCUGCACCCGACAGCCAAGGGAUUUACAUGUGGCAUAGCAAGUAUCAAUGGUUCAUAACACACUCGAGUCCUGACCGAGGGCCUUGAAAUUGGCAUGCCUAUUCAAAACAUCUCCAGGACAACAAGGUUAUUUUCUGUUGACGUGUAUUGAAUUCUUAAGGGCAAAGAAGAUGAAGGAGAAUGCGUGCAGUGGGCUGAAUAGAGAAUUCGUGAAUCAAAGGCAACACCAUCAAAUGCAUUAUGAAAUUAAGCACUAUCAGGUUGUCAAGGCUGUAGCUCAGCGGGCACAUGGUCCUGGA